GAGGUGUAACCUGCCCAAUGAUUAUAAAUUAGAAAAUAUUAAAAUUAUUUGAAUAUAAUUUAAAGGACGCGGUAUCUUGACCGUGAUAAUGUAGCAUAAUCACUCGCCAUUUAAUUGAUGGAUAGUAUGAAUGGUUGAACGAAUAUAACACUGUCUCAGAUAAAAACCAUAUAAAAUUGGAAUAAUAGUAAAGAUACUAUUUUAAAUUGUAAGACGAAAAGACCCUAUAGAGCUUAACUAUUACUCUUUUAUAAGAAAAAAUAAAUUUAUUUAUGAAAUUAAAAGAUAGGUAGUUUAGUUGGGGCGACUACUUUCUAAAAACAACGAAAGUAAGCAAAAAUUAAUUAAAUAAUUAACUGUAUAAUCAAUUUAUUUAACAGUUAUUAAUGUAGGCUAUAAUGACCCGUUUUAAUUAAAGAAUACAAUAAAACGAUCAAUAAAUAAAAGCUACCUUAGGGAUAACAGGAUAAUUUUAUCCUAGAGAUCUAAUCGAAGAUAAAGUUUGUCACCUCUAUGUUGAAUUAAGGUAUCCUAAUAGUGCAGCAGCUAUUAAAGGUAGGUCUGUUCGACCUUUAAAACCUUACAUGAUUUG
rnacentral:rRNA from 1 species